GAAGGGACCUAGCGUAGUUCGGAAUUACUGGGCUUAAAGAGUUCGUAGGUGGUUGAAAAAGUUAGUGGUGAAAUGGGAGAGCUUAACUCUGGAACUGCCAUUAAAACUUUUCAGCUAGAGUAUGAUAGAGGAAAGCAGAAUUUCUAGUGUAGAGGUGAAAUUCGUAGAUAUUAGAAAGAAUACCAAUUGCGAAGGCAGCUUUCUGGAUCAUUACUGACACUGAGGAACGAAAGCAUGGGUAGC
rnacentral:rRNA from 1 species